UAUGGGCUUUUGUAUGUAGUAGUUUGAAUGGAAAAAGAAAACGAGUUUAUUUCCUUUUAGGUAGUGAAUCAAUUAUAAACCGCUUACCGAAUGAAUGAAAGUGACAUACCCAAAGGAUCAAGUUUUGAGUUAUGGGAAACCGAUGAGUUAUGCUCAUAUUUGAACAAAUGGUGAGUGAAAAAAAGAAAGAAAGAAGAAAUGAAAAGAAACACCGGAUAAAUUUCUCACUGUGAUUGCUGUUGCCAACUUUCUGGCUGGAAUCAGAUUUUAUUACCCGAUUUGUACCAUGUCAAGACUUAAUGUAAAAGAGGCUGGUUCCCGAGCUUCCUGGUAUCUGUCAUCUUGGAAAAGUGGCUUUGGCAUUGACAAGCUUAGAGACAAUGACUUACACACCUAUUGGCAAUCGGAUGGGAUUUUACCUCACACAAUUAAUAUUCAGUUCCAUAAAAAGACUAUUAUCACAGAAUUAUGCAUGUACGUUGACUACAAACUAGACGAAAGCUACACGCCAAGCAAAAUUUCCAUCAGGUCUGGUAGCCAUGCUUAUGCCUCAAGAGAAAUUACCGUUUUCGAACUUGAUGAACCGCAUGGUUGGGUGAAUAUUUCUCUUGAGAAUAACGGUCAACCAGUAAAGGCACAUUUUAUACAAAUUGCAAUCUUGUCAAAUCAUUCGGGGGGACGUGAUUGUCGUGUAAGGCAAGUGCGUUUAGUUUCUCCUCUGGAAAGUGGCUGUUCUGCCAUUUUUCACGUUCCACCAUUUUCGACAACUGAAUGUAUGUCAUACAGCUCCGUCCGAUAACAGCUUUUUCUAUAAAAAUGUUUUAACAGAACUAGAUCAAUUCAUCAACUGAACUAAGAUGCGGGAUGAUAAAUGGCGAUGAUUGCUUAUGAAUUAAUAUAUUUAAUAGGAAGAUAAGCCAUCAUAGUAAACAUACAUUCAGUCUUUCUCUAGUGGAAAUAUGGCUUCAUUAGAAUUAUAAGUAAAUUAGAUAGGAAAAGUUAGACGUGACAGCAGUUCUGGUUUUGUGAAAACUAUUCUUCUUGGAGCGUAUAUUGUUAGCAGACUGUGUUUGCAUUUUUGAAGAGUGGCCAGAAUUAAAGAUCUGCAUCAAUUUUUUUCUUUGUUUAAUUGCUUUGUUUUCUAGUUCUGAUGUGUUAUUUUUUUAUGGUUUUUAGUACUUUUAUUUAUGUUAUUUCGCCAUAUUCUGGUCUGUAACAUAACGACGGAAUUAAAUAAUUAUAAUACGCUGGAAAGUUCUGGUAUCAUAUGUCUAACAGUGUUAAGACGCAGAAGCAUUUCUGAGCUGGACUUUAAAUGUAUAAUGAAUGUGUUACAAAAAUUCAUGUUGAAAUAGCUUAAUGACAUUGCAAUGUAUUUGUGUAACUUAAUAAAAUAUAAUAAAAAUAUUAUUAA
rnacentral:lncRNA from 1 species